rnacentral:rRNA from 1 species
CGGGGGGAGCAAGCGUUGUUCGGAUUUACUGGGCGUAAAGGGCGUGCAGGCGGCCACCGCAAGUCGACUGUGAAAUCUCCGGGCUUAACUCGGAAAGGUCAGCCGAUACUGCGGGGCUAGAGUGCAGAAGGGGCAACUGGAAUUCUCGGUGUAGCGGUGAAAUGCGUAGAUAUCGAGAGGAACACCUGCGGCGAAGGCGGGUUGCUGGGCUGACACUGACGCUGAAACGCGAAAGCUAGGGGAGCGAACGGGAUUAGAUACCCCGGUAGUCCUAGCCUUAAACGAUGAAUGCUUGGUGUCUGGGGUUUUAUAGUCCCCGGGUGCCGUCGCUAACGCUUUAAGCAUUCCGCCUGGGGAGUACGGUCGCAAGACUG